CCCGUCGUAAACGUCUCAUCAUGUCUCUACGGGAACAGAUCGUCAACGAGGGGAAGGACAAGGCCUUUCUCCUCAGGAGGUUACAGUGUCUACAGAGACAGGGAGCAGGCAGACCUAGACCACAGGUGCACUUCGAGGAGGAGAAACCGACCAGGCCAGAGUCAGGGCAGCUUAGAGAAGAAGCACGCCCUCCUCCCUCCUUCCAACACCCAUCCACCCCCAUGGAGGCCCCCUCCGUGUUAACUCGGCCUCCCUGGGACAGCUCCCCCAGGCUAGGUAGAGCCCAGCCCCCAGUCCCCGUGGUGGUGCCCCAGAGGCAGCCCUGGUCGCGGCCGGACCCCAGCCAGCAGGCAGGCGUGCUGGGUAGAGGAGGAGCGACCAGCCCCUCCCCCUCCAGAUCCACUGUGGCCAGUCAGGGGUAGAGGAUGGCUUCAGGGAAGGCCCCACGGGGGGCCCAGAUUGGAGCCGCUGCCUUCCCGCGAGGUACCCGUCCUGCCUGGGUCGGUGCCUGAGAGCGCCCCCCCUCCCCCACGGAGACCAGGGUCCAGCAGAGCAGAGGUGAACCAGGGACAACAUCAGUCCUAGCUAGACUCAGAGAGAGGAUAGGAGCCCACAUCAACUGUCGGGCUCAGACAUGGUCUGCUUCCAAAAUGCCACACUAUUCCAUAGGACUCAGGUCAAAUGUAGUGCACUAUGUAGGGAAUAGUGUGCCAUAGAGCUCUGGUCUACAGUAGUGCACUAUGUAGGGAAUAGGGUGUCAUAGGGCUCUGGUCUAAAGUAGUGCACUAUGUAGGGAAUAGGGUGUCAUAGAGCUCUGGUCUAAAGUAGUGCACUAUGUAGGGAAAAGGGUGUUGUCCCAGAAGAAGAUUUAAGUGUUAGUUAGUUGAGAUAAAGGUAGGUGAUCUUUAUGUUGAGUUAUGUUGAUAUGCUGAGUUAUGUUGAUAUGCUGAGAUAUGUUGAUAUGCUGAGUUAUGUUGAGUUAUGUUGAUAUGCUGAGAUAUGUUGAUAUGCUGAGAUAUGUUGAUAUGCUGAGUUAUGUUGAUAUGCUGAGAUAUGUUGAUAUGCUGAGAUAUGUUGAUAUGCUGAGAUAUGUUGAUAUGCUGAGUUAUGUUGAUAUGCUGAGAUAUGUUGAUAUGCUGAGUUAUGUUGAGAUAUGUUGAUAUGCUGAGAUAUGUUGAUAUGCUGAGUUAUGUUGAGUUAUGUUGAUAUGCUGAGUUAUGUUGAGUUAUGUUGUUAUGUUGAGUUAUGUUGAUAUGCUGAGUUAUGUUGGUAGGGUGUUGAUUCUUUUUGAAAUUCUAAUAUUUUAUAAGUCUUGUUCUGUAUCAGUUGAUUUUGAAUUAAAUUCUUUGUCAUCUGUAAAUAACAUGUUUGAGUCAGUCAGUGGCCGUGUCUGAAAUCUGGCGUGCCUACCACCAGGGUAGUAUUGCUUCUGGAGGACUGGCGUGCCUACCACCAGGGUAGUAUUGCUUCUGGAGGACUGGCGUGCCUACCACCAGGGUAGUAUUGAUGCUGGAGGACUGGCGUGCCUACCACCAGGGUAGUAUUGCUGCUGGAGGACUGGCGUGCCUACCACCAGGGUAGUAUUGCUGCUGGAGGACUGGCGUGCCUACCACCAGGGUAGUAUUGCUGCUGGAGGACUGGCGUGCCUACCACCAGGGUAGUAUUGCUGCUGGAGGACUGGCGUGCCUACUACCAGGGUAGUAUUGCUGCUGGAGGACUGGCGUGCCUACUACCAGGGUAGUAUUGCUGCUGGAGGACUGGCGUGCCUACUACCAGGGUAGUAUUGCUGCUGGAGGACUGGCGUGCCUACUACCAGGGUAGUAGGGCUGGAGGACUGGCGUGCCUACUACCAGGGUAGUAUUGCUGCUGGAGGACUGGCGUGCCUACUACCAGGGUAGUAUUGCUGCUGGAGGACUGGCGUGCCUACUACCAGGGUAGUAUUGCUGCUGGAGGACUGGCGUGCCUACUACCAGGGUAGUAUUGCUGCUGGAGGACUGGCGUGCCUACUACCAGGGUAGUAUUGCUGCUGGAGGACUGGCGUGCCUACCACCAGGGUAGUAUUGCUGCUGGAGGACUGGCGUGCCUACUACCAGGGUAGUAUUGCUGCUGGAGGACUGGCGUGCCUACUACCAGGGUAGUAUUGCUGCUG
ensembl:lncRNA